rnacentral:misc_RNA from 1 species
AUGAAAGCUAUUUAUUAUGUGUGUCGUUGGUCUUGGGGCUUUGCUUGAUUUUGCUGUAAUUGUGGCUUAAUGAUGAUAGAAAUGGUAUUUUAAAUAGGAUAAUAUUUAAUGAUAUUGGAUAAUUUAUCUGGUAGACUGGAACAGUUUCUGAUGUUUUUGUAUUAGACUGCUUAUUGAAAUUAGCUCCAGUGGAGUAUAAUACCAAUUCGUGUUGUAAGUAUUGGAUAAUUUGGUUAUUCUGCGAGAUAUGCUUGUAUGUGAUGUGCCCAUGAUAAUAGUUUUUGUACCCAGAGCAUUAAACCAAAUAUCUUGCCAGCAUAUGUUUCUGCGCAGCAACUGAUCAUACUGCUCUUUGCAGUGGCUACUUUGUAGAGUAUAAGUGCACUUUCUCUAUGUGUAUGUGCUUAAAUGGAUAAACCUUAAUCAGUGAUGAUUUCCAGAACACAUUUUAAGGCUUUGUGAGGAUAUUGGUGGAUAAAGGGUCUCCGUUAUUGUUCAGACCAAAAAAUCAUUUUGUUCAUUUUGCAGUUGGAGCUGAUGCUGACGAUGAUAGGAUUAAUUUGUUGCUGUCUGAAGUUGAUGGAAAGGAUGUUACAGAGUUGAUUGCUGCUGGUAGGGAGAAGUUGGCCUCAGUUCCUUCUGGUGGUGGUGUUGCUGUUGCUGCUGCUGCUGCCCCUGCUGCUGGAGGUGGUGCUGCAGCUCCUGCUGCUGAGGCCAAAAAAGAAGAGAAGGUUGAGGAGAAAGAGGAGUCUGAUGAGGAUAUGGGUUUCAGCCUCUUUGACUAGGAGAUUUGGUUGCUGCUUUCAUUUGUAUCAAGGCCUUCGUGCUAGCGUUUUAGUUAAAAAUUAUAAGUUUUUUGGUCUGUUGUUGGAUAUGAUAUUUGGAACUUGUUUGCAUUCUGGAAUUUUUGAGUUAGAUAACAGAGAUCAGCCUUUUCAGAUAUAAUUGUUAAUUUUGAGAUUCGCUUACUCUUUUCUCUCAUGAAUCUGUUUGCAAAUGAUGUGUAAAUAGUGUGAUUGUUUAAAUAAUUUCCUAGAGAGAAUACGUGGAAUCCGUAGGUGAAUUAAUAUUUCCAGUCUUGGCA